rnacentral:rRNA from 1 species
UACGUAGGGGGCAAGCGUUAUCCGGAUUUACUGGGCGUAAAGGGAGCGUAGACGGAUGGACAAGUCUGAUGUGAAAGGCUGGGGCUCAACCCCGGGACUGCAUUGGAAACUGCCCGUCUUGAGUGCCGGAGAGGUAAGCGGAAUUCCUAGUGUAGCGGUGAAAUGCGUAGAUAUUAGGAGGAACACCAGUGGCGAAGGCGGCUUACUGGACGGUAACUGACGUUGAGGCUCGAAAGCGUGGGGAGCAAACAGG